AUGAUACAGUCGACGUCCGAUUUCCCGGACGCCCGAAAUUCCGGACAUGCCUGAUUUCCCGGACUCAUCUGUGGCACCGUCAAGUUCCCCAUAGAGUCAAUGUAUUAAAAAGUCCGAAAUUCCGGACGCUUAUAGCCUUCGCCAUCCGAUUUCCCGGACUUUUUACUGUUAACCGCCGACCGAAAGUCACCACCGACGCCGCCAUUUUGGCUGUUUUCUUAUCCUCGAACCCACCAUACUCGCAUCGCAGGUGUGGCCAGCAGCACCGCCGCACCGCGCCGCGGCUGCCGUAACCUCGAAACCGCACGUGUCAAUCCGUUGCCAGCCGUAGCUUAGCCAAGCCAAACCUCACUGUGUUCGUUCGCGUGUUGUUUUGUCAGCUCUGCCAGCUCUGCGGUCGUGUCUGCGGUUGAUCGUUUGCUGCUGCGCGCUAUCUUCAACCUCGAGCUAUGUGCGGAGUUGACCGAUGACGAAAUCAUUCGUCAAGUUACGGAGGAUUCCGACGACUCCGACACCGAGAACGAAGAGCCAGCUCCUACACAGCCAACGAGCUCGGAGUUGACGCGAGCACUGAUGACACUGUCAUCGGUGUACAGCGGCAACAUGACGUUGACUGAAAUUGAGGCAGACAUGAUCGCGGGCAAGCGGACCGUGCAAAAUAAAAUAAGCGACUUCUUUGCGCCCAAGUGCUGACCUA